AUAUGUUUAAAUCUGUCUUCCAUUUUACAAGUGAACCUCAGAUGCAGGAGGUGGUGUGUGUUGCGUCCCCAGAUGAUUUACUGCUGAGACCAACUGUGUUUGUAGCCAGACCAGGAAUCCAUGGCUGAAGGAGCUGAUGGAGGAGCCGUGCUGAAGGCCCUGCCUGGUGGAGGAGCUGAUGGAGGCCCUGCCUGGUGGAGGAGCUGAUGGAGGCCCUGCCUGGGGGAGGUGCUGAUGGUGGCCCUGCCUGGUGAAGGAUGUCUUUCCUGGGGCAGAUGGAGCCUGACUCUGAAGUGAUCAUCACACUCACUGCCACUACUCGUAGAAUACUGCUACCACAAACUACCCGCGUUUGUUAAUAUACCAGACCACUACAUCUGUUUUACCACAUGUUGAAGCAAGACUUUCGCUGUUUGUUCCUGACCAGGACUCUGUCUGAGGAGAGCUGUUGGAGGAGCUGAGACGCUGGAAUAGAUCAACAAGGAUUCCUCAACGUGUUUCUGGAGCGGAGGCGAGCUGAUAAGGGAGCCGUGAAUCUGGAGGAUGACCUCACACUACCAAGAAGGAUUACGUUGGGGCCAGACUUGCGCUGUUUGUUCCAGACCAGGACUCUGGCUGAGGAGAGCUGAUGGAGGAGCCAAGGCUCUGGAGGACGACGUCACGUUACCAACAAGGAUCCUCGUAAAUUUGCAUAAAGUAAACAGAGUGGACUUGUUGUAA
rnacentral:lncRNA from 1 species